GCAGUCGAACGGCAGCACGGGAGCAAUCCUGGUGGCGAGUGGCGAACGGGUGAGUAAUAUAUCGGAACGUGCCCAGUCGUGGGGGAUAACGUAGAGAAAUUUACGCUAAUACCGCAUACGAUCUAAGGAUGAAAGCGGGGGACCGUAAGGCCUCGCGCGAUUGGAGCGGCUGAUAUCAGAUUAGGUUGUUGGUGAGGUAAAAGCUCACCAAGCCGACGAUCUGUAGCUGGUUUGGGAGAACGACCAGCCACACUGGGACUGAGACACGGCCCAGACUCCUACGGGAGGCAGCAGUGGGGAAUUUUGGACAAUGGGCGAAAGCCUGAUCCAGCAAUGCCGCGUGCAGGAAGAAGGCCUUCGGGUUGUAAACUGCUUUUGUACGGAACGAAAAGGUCUGCCCUAAUACGGCGGGCCCAUGACGGUACCGUAAGAAUAAGCACCGGCUAACUACGUGCCAGCAGCCGCGGUAAUACGUAGGGUGCGAGCGUUAAUCGGAAUUACUGGGCGUAAAGCGUGCGCAGGCGGUGAUGUAAGACAGUUGUGAAAUCCCCGGGCUCAACCUGGGAAUUGCAUCUGUGACUGCAUCGCUAGAGUACGGUAGAGGGGGAUGGAAUUCCGCGUGUAGCAGUGAAAUGCGUAGAUAUGCGGAGGAACACCGAUGGCGAAGGCAAUCCCCUGGACCUGUACUGACGCUCAUGCACGAAAGCGU
rnacentral:rRNA from 1 species